AUGCUGUCACUGCAGCAUUGUGUGCUUUAUCUGAUGUUUCUCAUUAUUCUAACAGGUGUCAGCUGUGAAGAACUCAAUCCAGUCAAAAAUGAAGUGAACAGCUUGGAAGGCAGCUCUGUUACUCUGUCCUACAGAUACACCAAACAAGCAACUGGUGGUGAUGAGUUUUACUGGUAUCGACAAUAUCCAGGAAAACCACCAGAGUUCAUCAUAUUCAUCUCAGGGAUGAACAUUACAAAAAAAGCUGAAUAUCUGACAUUGGACACAAGGUUCUCUACGAAUCUGUCUGAAGAAAAGCAUCGUGUGGAUCUUCAGAUCUCCUCUGCUGCAGUGACAGACUCUGCUCUGUACUACUGUGCUGUGAGGCCCACAGUG